UAGAUUUUCUUUUCGUUGGGGAAACAAACUUCACAAGAUGUGGCCUUUGUCACUGAACAUGGCUGAUGCUAUUUCAGACUAGCAUGAGCUGUUGAGUCUCAAGUGUGUGGUGUUCAGGCGUUGCCUAAACGUUGCUACCACGGUGAGGUCAUCUCAACAAGUGGAAGAGAAUGUGCUCUUAUGGAAGUGCCAUCCUACCUCUAGUAAGUAAACAGCACGAACAGAUAGCGAGUUAGCACGCCAGACGCAAAUAUCUUGGCAUGCCAGCAGUACGCCCACCAAGGCUCCAUGGUAACGUAACGUCUGUUACGCUGAGGCAGGUCAACAGGAAAGGAACCGUGGCAAGGGUGAGAGAUGGACCCUCUCCUAGAGACAAAGUUUCCAUAGUGAUACACAUCAUCAGGAUCUGGACACAUAGGAACCUCGCUUACAUCUAAUCUUCUCCGUCUUAUUUUAUGGAAACAAUUCAAUUCCCAUGUAAUAUUUACAAAUCUGAAGGAAGCACUUAUUGGCAGCCAUGAGCAAGAGGCCUCGAGAGGAUUGGCUUCGGACUAGACGGACAAGGAUCUGAGCAGACGCAGACAAGUGACUCUAAAGGCCAUCACUUCCUAAGUUUAUGCACACAGAAAAACAAAUGUUCUUGUAGCUAACAAUUAUGUGCAAACAGAAACUGACAAUAAAUGGUCCUUCUUCUUUUACUGAAAUUGUGCGAUUCUCAGUAAAUAUCUA